rnacentral:ncRNA from 1 species
GUAAAGACUAAGACGAGAAGAGUAGAUAUAAAAGGUAGUUUUAGCGAUUUGGUGAUGGUGAGAGACCAAUACGAAAUUUAUAUUGAAAAACAUCUUUGAGUUUCUAACCGAAAUCAGUAGAGAGUAGGCUUAGACGGGUCCAAUCCGUUAAUAGUUGGGUAGUAUCAAAUUAUAAUUCGAAACAUUGAAUACAUAAUUUUGUACUAAUUAGAGUGGUCAUAGUUUAUGACAAAUUGGGUGGUAUCGCGAAAUUAUAGUUUUUCGUCCCUUUA